rnacentral:lncRNA from 1 species
UUGCUUUUAUUCAUCACCAUCACAAGUUCAUGCAACGCUCAAUUUUCUCUUACACUAAAUGAUCUCACAAUUUUAGAAGCAAUUUUUAUUGCCUUUUUGCACCGAUGACAAUUGUGGCACCCCGACUCAGAGAAAACCAGAACGCCCCAUAUUCCAGCCCAGAGAUCGAGGAGAAGUCUUCUUUAAUACGGCACUGCUUAGCAUAGAACAAACUAGCUUUCUAUUAUUACACGAAUAUGAUUACAAGGUCUCCGAUAUUACAAUGAAUAACAUCGGCACGGCAACACUACGCCAUCCUCAGUUGCUCUAUGCAAGCAGCAGAACAACUCGAAGCAGCGGAAUAACUCUAACAGCGGAAAAACUACUGGCAGCGGAACAACGACGGCGGUGGUGAACUCCAAUCCGCAGGGACUCUGGCUGGAACGCUUAUCCUAGCUUGCAAACAAAGAAUCCACGACAAACAAGCAUGCAAUCCAGGCACGACCUGCAAGCUGGCAUGCCACGCCAGGUCAGUACAUUGAAUGUACUUGCAAGCUCACAAUAAACCAGAAGCAUUCAAGACAAAUAACAGCAUGGAAAUUACAGGUUAAGCAGGAAUUAACAUGAGAUCCUCAUAAUAACAUGACAUGAACAACAUGACAUACAAAGUAGUACUCCCAAAAUAAUACCAACUACCAUCAUGAAAAUAAUCAUAAUAGCCACUAAGAAUCCAAAGGCAACAUGAACAUGAUACCGCUAGAACAAUAUGAGCAUGGCAUGAACAUAUGAAUCUGAUGAUACUAGCAUCCAACAUGAUAACACUACAUGCACCAAUUAUUCUGCUCGGGUUAUCUCGUAACCAUCACACGCAGCACUUACCAACCUCGGACAUCACACGAUCAUCUCAGGAUCAAAUCAAGCUUGGUAUAAACAAUACCGUAGUAAUCAUUAAAUGACCACAAGGAGCUUGAUCUUUACCCAUGAUUCUCGCACAACAUCACGAAUAUCAAACAACUCGGUAUCCUCGAUACCACCAUGAUCCUUCCGACGAUCACAACCACGACCAACACUUGGUCUCAAACCGUGAUCCUUACGGCGAUCACAACCACGACCAAUAUUUGGCUCAUGAUCCUUACGACGAUCACAACCACGACCAAUAUUUUGCCCGUGAUCCUUACAGCGAUCACAACCAAUUUAUCUCAUCUUCGAAUCGUGGUUGUUAUUAAUCAAGUUAUUAUUAAUAUUGUUGACUCACGGUGGGAUCUACACGAACUGGGCCCUUAUCCGUGGGCGCGGCUACCGAUAGAUUAAUAUACACUCUGUAGAGGUCAGCACACUGUACCCACACCACGGAACCCAUGGCUUCGCACUCCCAUUCGGGUGGACCAACGACGUUCCGACAAAACUUAUCUAUUGUCAUGACACUCUCCCGGCCACUUCGACCCACUGCCAACUGGGUUAGUCCUGGGUGGCCCCGUGUCUACGAAAGACACCCCGACCACCGUCGUGGUCAAACUCCCUCACGGGGAAAACUCCCUCACGGGGACCGGAUCCAUAAAAACAAUGGGCACACAAGGUUAUGUCUGCUUACCGGGCCAGGGUACGCACGCCCAUAACCUUCCCUAGUUGGAGGCACCGGCGGGAUGCAUGACAAUAGACCCAGUUAGGACCUUACCCAUACGGUAAGCGUGGUUGCACUGGUCAGUUUCGAUCUGGCGGCACCAUGACUCAGCCAACAGUUGUUCAAGUUCAAUUAAAUCCGAUUAAACUUGAAUGCAAUAUGCUGAGCCAUGAUAAAAUAACAUGAUGCAUUUACAAAGCAUGAGCAUGAUAUCAACAUAAGCACAGGAAGCAACACAACUGUCCAUCAUAUCAACUAUGAAAUAAUCUCAAACUGAACAUGGCAUAAUGACGAGCAUAAAUAUUACAAGUGCAACACUACUCAUAGUAUAACAUAACAUGACCACUAGCAUUAACCAUAAAUAACAUGCAAGAACUUAUCAAUAACAUCACCGAGUUACACUUAACCAACUAACAGCAACUGAACAAUGCCUAUUAACAAUACUCGGUAACCGACGUUAGUCAUGCACCGAAGAGCAUGACCAACCCAACAUGUACUACUAUCAAGCAUGGAAAUAUGAAAGUAAUACUAACAACUAGCAGGGCAUGAUAACCAGGUGCAUAACAACAUAGCAAACAAGUAGGCACUAACCCAGAAACAUUACUGAAACAACGAUAACCAUCUUUUAAACAAGCAAUCAUUUAAUAAAUAUUCAAGUUUAAAACCAUAGCUACUGCAUGACUAUCAUGCAAGUAGGUAUUGUGGCUUGCCUGGGGAUGAAGAAUACUCCGGGAAGAAGUGCGGUGAAGCCGCGGAAAGAUUUGCCGAAAACAGUUCUCUCUCGGAGGGGCUGUUUACGUGCAAGGGAAAAAAGGUAAUUUUCACAGUGUCAAACCAUAGUGAAAAUGAAAUCAACAGAACGGGUUCGACGAGACGAAGAAAUGGGCUUUGGAAUCACCUCAUUUGGAGUUGUGGUUAAAAAGAUAUGAGGUGUUUUCUGCCAGGGACCCAUCUGUAAUGAAAAACUUCAAAAUCUGGGCCUGGACAGAAAAGCAGAAAGCGCAAUCGGCGGAAUACGCUUUCACUGAACUGAAAAUGCAUUCGGGGCUGAAGAAGAACGGAAAUACGCUUCCUCGGAAAGAAAACGUACUCGCAGGAAAAUACACUUUCUAAAGAUGAAAACAUACUUACCGGAUGUACGCUUCCACUUAUCCAGUCAGCAGGGCGGGGCCGCGCUGCUGUGCGGCUGACAGGCGGGUCCCACAGGCUGUG